UUCCCGGGUCUUGUACACACCGCCCGUCACACCACGAAAGUCGGCAAUACCCGAAGCCGGUGGCCUAACCCGCAAGGGAGGGAGCCGUCGAAGGUAGGGUCGAUGAUUGGGGGUG
rnacentral:rRNA from 1 species